rnacentral:rRNA from 1 species
CCCUAUGGGGUGCAGCAGUUACGAAACCUUUACAAUGCACGCAAGUGUGAUAAGGGGAUUCUGAGUGCUCAUGUAUUGCAUGGGCUUUUGCCAAGAGUAAAGAUCUUGGCGAAUAAGUGGUGGGCAAGACUGGUGCCAGCCGCCGCGGUAACCCCAGCGCCACGAGUGGGAACCACGUUUAUUGGGUCUAAAGCAUCCGUAGCCGGUUAGGUAAAUUCUCUGUGAAAUCGUCGGGCCUAACCCGACGGCGUGCAGGGAACACUACUUAACUUGAGACCAGGAGAGGUAAGAAGUAUUCCAGGGGGAGCGGUAAAAUGUUAUAAUCCCUGGCAGACUACCGAUGGCGAAGGCAUCUUACCAGAAUGGAUCUGACGGUGAGGGAUGAAAGCUAGGGGAGCGAUCCGGAUUAGAUACCCGAGUAGUCCUAGCUGUAAACGCUGCGUGCCAGAUGUUGCGCAAUCCACGAGAUUGCGCAGUGUCGUAAUGAAGAUGUUAAGCACGCCACCUGGGAAGUACGGCCGCAAGACUGAAACUUAAAGGAAUUGGCGGGGGCACACUACAAGGAGUGCGGCGUGCGGUUUAAUUGAAUUCAACGCCGGGAAUCUUACCAGGGGCGACGGCAGGAUGAAGGUCAGUCUGAAGGGCUUACCAGACGAGCCGAGAGGAGGUGCAUGGGCGAGGGCGAUUU